rnacentral:rRNA from 1 species
ACUCCUACGGGAGGCAGCAGUGGGGAAUAUUGCACAAUGGGCGCAAGCCUGAUGCAGCCAUGCCGCGUGUAUGAAGAAGGCCUUCGGGUUGUAAAGUACUUUCAGCGGGGAGGAAGGCAAUACGGUUAAUAACCGUGUUGAUUGACGUUACCCGCAGAAGAAGCACCGGCUAACUCCGUGCCAGCAGCCGCGGUAAUACGGAGGGUGCAAGCGUUAAUCGGAAUUACUGGGCGUAAAGCGCACGCAGGCGGUCUGUCAAGUCGGAUGUGAAAUCCCCGGGCUCAACCUGGGAACUGCAUUCGAAACUGGCAGGCUUGAGUCUUGUAGAGGGGGGUAGAAUUCCAGGUGUAGCGGUGAAAUGCGUAGAGAUCUGGAGGAAUACCGGUGGCGAAGGCGGCCCCCUGGACAAAGACUGACGCUCAGGUGCGAAAGCGUGGGGAGCAAACAGGAUUAGAAACCCCUGUAGUCCCAU